rnacentral:rRNA from 1 species
GACGAACGCUGGCGGCGUGCUUAACACAUGCAAGUCGAACGGAAAGGCCCUGCUUUUGUGGGGUGCUCGAGUGGCGAACGGGUGAGUAACACGUGAGUAACCUGCCCUUGACUUUGGGAUAACUUCAGGAAACUGGGGCUAAUACCGGAUAGGAGCUCCUGCUGCAUGGUGGGGGUUGGAAAGUUUCGGCGGUUGGGGAUGGACUCGCGGCUUAUCAGCUUGUUGGUGGGGCAGUGGCUUACCAAGGCUUUGACGGGUAGCCGGCCUGAGAGGGUGACCGGCCACAUUGGGACUGAGAUACGGCCCAGACUCCUACGGGAGGCAGCAGUGGGGAAUAUUGCACAAUGGGCGGAAGCCUGAUGCAGCAACGCCGCGUGCGGGAUGACGGCCUUCGGGUCGUAAACCGCUUUCGCCUGUGACGAAGCGUGAGUGACGGUAAUGGGUAAAGAAGCACCGGCUAACUACGUG